rnacentral:rRNA from 1 species
GACGAACGCUGGCGGCGUGCCUAACACAUGCAAGUCGAACGAAGCAUAGCAAUAUGCUUAGUGGCGGACGGGUGAGUAACGCGUGAACAAUCUGCCCUGUACAAAGGAAUAGCCUCGGGAAACCGGGAUUAAAACCGUAUGACACUUUAGUAUCGCAUGAUAAGAAAGUCAAAUCGAUUAGAGGUAUGGGAUGAGUUCGCGUCUGAUUAGCUGGUUGGCGGGGUAACGGCCCACCAAGGCGACGAUCAGUAGCCGGCCUGAGAGGGUGAACGGCCACACUGGAACUGAGACACGGUCCAGACUCCUACGGGAGGCAGCAGUGGGGAAUAUUGGACAAUGGGGGAAACCCUGAUCCAGCCAUUCCGCGUGAGUGAAGAAGGCCUUCGGUUGUAAAGCUCUUUCAGCAGGAACGAAACGGACAGGCUUUAAUACUAGCCUGCUAAUGACGGUACCUAGCAGAAGAAGCACCGGCUAACUAACGUGCCAGCAGCGCGG